AGAACGAACGCUGGCGGCAUGCCUAACACAUGCAAGUCGAACGCGUCUUGGGGCUUCGGUCUCAGGGGAGUGGCGCACGGGUGAGUAGCGCGUGGGAACCUGCCCUGUUGUGGGGGAUAACCGAGGGAAACUUCGGCUAAUACCGCAUGACACUUACGAGUCAAAGCAGCAAUGCGCUUGGAGAGGGGGUCGCGGCAGAUUAGUUAGUUGGCGGGGUAAUGGCCCACCAAGACGAUGAUCUGUA
rnacentral:rRNA from 1 species